rnacentral:rRNA from 1 species
UAGGGAAUAUUGGACAAUGGGUGAGAGCCUGAUCCAGCCAUGCCGCGUGCAGGAAGAAGGCGUUAUGCGUUGUAAACUGCUUUUUGCCAGGGGAUAAAAAGACCGUGCGCGGUUAAUUGAAGGUACCUGGUGAAUAAGCCACGGCUAACUACGUGCCAGCAGCCGCGGUAAUACGUAGGUGGCAAGCGUUGUCCGGAUUUAUUGGGUUUAAAGGGUGCGUAGGUGGCCCUGUAAGUCAGCGGUGAAAUAUCUCAGCUUAACUGAGAGGGUGCCAUUGAUACUGCAGGGCUUGAGUACAGAUGAGGUAGGCGGAAUUGACGGUGUAGCGGUGAAAUGCAUAGAUAUCGUCAAGAACACCGAUAGCGAAGGCAGCUUACCAAGCUGUAACUGACGCUGAGGUGCGAAAGCGUGGGGAGCAAACGGGAUUAGAUACCCAGGUAGUCCCUGAGCGGGCUGGCAAGGCGCAU